GCCAGUAUCACUGCUGAUGUGGUUUCUGAUGGUACAGGUGAGAUUCUCUUGCUGAUAGAAUCACUGCUGAUGUAGUUUCUGAUGGUACAGGUGAGAUCUCCUGACAGGCCUUUCUUCAGAGUGAUGGUGUUUGUCUCAUUUCCAGGAGAGGUCUCAGUGUCUCUCAGUGUCUGUCCAUCCAGAGUCCAGCUGUACUGGGGACCAUCCCCCUCAGAGGAACAGGACACCCUCAUCUCUCCAUGGGACAGACACUCAGAGGACAUCAGAGGACUGGACACUGGAGCUGUGGGGGAAGAAGGAUAUGUAACUGUAGUAAGAGGGCAUAACACAUUAGAACAACACCAGCCAUUCUUCUUGAAAGCCACAGAAACUACUGUAGUCAACAGGAGCAGCAGAUUCAUGACACACAAUGACUGCAUUUCAAAUAACCAACAGAUGAUUUAAUGUUGAUGGAUGUGGUUAUGACUCUAUGUACCAACUACAGUAGACUAUGAAAAUAAAAAUGACUCCAUGGUUACACAUAAAUUGCAUUUCUCAUUAUUUUGUUUAUUAGGUAGUCACAUAUUUGUAGUUUAGCCAGAGCAAUAGCUUGUCAAAGUUACCACUUGUAAUAAUUAUUUGGAUAGUUAGUUAAUUACCUUCGAUGAACAGGUGUAGUCCUCUGGUCCCUGAUGAUAUCCCUACUGAAUUAAAUGUUUCUAGCAGGUAUUCACCAGAAUCUGUACUUCUUGUGUUAUUUAACCUAAAUGUCCUAUUGUUUAUAAAGAAGUGUACUCUGUCUUUAAUGGUGGUGUCUCUUAUUACCCAUAUGUCCUUCCUCGUUUCGAGUAUAUUUGUUUUAGCACCAGUUGAGCCUUUAUAAAAUGAGAGUCCAUCAUAUCUCGUGGCAUCAGUCACCAGCUGGAGAUAGACAGUUCCUCCCAGAGCUCCAUAACACUGAGUACCAUUCUGUCUAGCAUCACAGGAAGUCUCCAAGCCUGAAGAUCAAGAAGAAAAGACAAUGUAGUGACGAUCACUGUUCUAACCCAUGUCAAGUCAUGUAUCAUUUUUCAGAUGAGGAUAUAAGUAACUAACAGUAUAACCAAACCAACAGCAUCAAUGUGAUAGGGAUCAUUAAGUCAGUGAUCAUUAUCAUGGGACAAUGAGUAAAGAGACAACUGUCUUCUACAGUGUUCUGAAUAUUGUCUAUCAUCAUCUGUCAUUUCUGCUACGUGAUAUACAAGACUCCUGAUACAAUGUUUUCCAUAAAAGAAGAGGAAAACCAACACAUAUGAAGAUGUUUCUUACCAUGAGACACUCCAGCUGAGAUCACCAACAGUCCUAAAACAGCCUCCAUGUCUCUUUACAACACAGGGUCUCAGUUUAUCAAAUUAACUUCGGUACUUCAACAAAGUCCUCUAUUUUCUAUUCAGAGCUGAAUUUCCAGAAUCUGGCAAUGUUUUACGGCACGAACAAAAACCAAUGCAAGGAAAGUAUGAGAGAUAGCUGUUCCUGCCACUCAGAAUAAUUC
rnacentral:lncRNA from 1 species